rnacentral:sRNA from 1 species
AUCAACACGAUUAAAUCCCUCCGAGUCCUCCGGGUGCUACGACCUCUUAAAACCAUCAAGCGGCUGCCAAAGCUCAAGGCUGUGUUUGACUGUGUGGUGAACUCACUUAAAAACGUCUUCAACAUCCUCAUCGUCUACAUGCUAUUCAUGUUCAUCUUCGCCGUGGUGGCUGUGCAGCUCUUCAAGGGGAAAUUCUUCCACUGCACUGACGAGUCCAAAGAGUUUGAGAAAGAUUGUCGAGGCAAAUACCUCCUCUACGAGAAGAAUGAGGUGAAGGCGCGAGAUCGGGAGUGGAAGAAGUAUGAAUUCCAUUACGACAAUGUGCUGUGGGCUCUGCUGACCCUCUUCACCGUGUCCACGGGAGAAGGCUGGCCACAGGUCCUCAAGCAUUCGGUGGACGCCACCUUUGAGAACCAGGGCCCCAGCCCCGGGUACCGCAUGGAGAUGUCCAUUUUCUACGUCGUCUACUUUGUGGUGUUCCCCUUCUUCUUUGUCAAUAUCUUUGUGGCCUUGAUCAUCAUCACCUUCCAGGAGCAAGGGGACAAGAUGAUGGAGGAAUACAGCCUGGAGAAAAAUGAGAGGGCCUGCAUUGAUUUCGCCAUCAGCGCCAAGCCGCUGACCCGACACAUGCCGCAGAACAAGCAGAGCUUCCAGUACCGCAUGUGGCAGUUCGUGGUGUCUCCGCCUUUCGAGUACACGAUCAUGGCCAUGAUCGCCCUCAACACCAUCGUGCUUAUGAUGAAGUUCUAUGGGGCUUCAGUUGCUUAUGAAAAUGCCCUGAGGGUGUUCAACAUCGUCUUCACCUCCCUCUUCUCUCUGGAAUGUGUGCUGAAAGUCAUGGCUUUUGGGAUUCUGAAUUAUUUCCGCGAUGCCUGGAACAUCUUCGACUUUGUGACUGUUCUGGGCAGCAUCACCGAUAUCCUCGUGACUGAGUUUGGGAAUAACUUCAUCAACCUGAGCUUUCUCCGCCUCUUCCGAGCUGCCCGGCUCAUCAAACUUCUCCGUCAGGGUUACACCAUCCGCAUUCUUCUCUGGACCUUUGUGCAAUCCUUCAAGGCCCUGCCUUAUGUCUGUCUGCUGAUCGCCAUGCUCUUCUUCAUCUAUGCCAUCAUUGGGAUGCAGGUGUUUGGUAACAUUGGCAUCGACGUGGAGGACGAGGACAGUGAUGAAGAUGAGUUCCAAAUCACUGAGCACAAUAACUUCCGGACCUUCUUCCAGGCCCUCAUGCUUCUCUUCCGGAGUGCCACCGGGGAAGCUUGGCACAACAUCAUGCUUUCCUGCCUCAGCGGGAAACCGUGUGAUAAGAACUCUGGCAUCCUGACUCGAGAGUGUGGCAAUGAAUUUGCUUAUUUUUACUUUGUUUCCUUCAUCUUCCUCUGCUCGUUUCUGAUGCUGAAUCUCUUUGUCGCCGUCAUCAUGGACAACUUUGAGUACCUCACCCGAGACUCCUCCAUCCUGGGCCCCCACCACCUGGAUGAGUACGUGCGUGUCUGGGCCGAGUAUGACCCCGCAGCUUGGUAAGAAGUCACCCCGAAUCCUCCAGCCACAAUACUCACCUCUCCCUGGAACUGGAACAUGGGCUAGGUCAGGCCUCAGACUCUGGAGCACUGAACUCCUGGGGUCCUAGCAGGGGUCUCACAGGUUCAAUCACGAGAGAAGAUAUAAGAAUCAUCACCCUUGCAUACCCCAGAUUAAACACGUAGGGUGCCAACCCUGCCCAAACCCUGGACUUUCUGGGAAAUGAGGGAGGGCGUCAACCAUGAGAUGUCCUGAAGAGCCCUCUCCUCCUACGAGUCUCUCCUGUCUCUCACUGUGAAGUCUCCAGAUGGUGAGGAUGCAUUAGCCAGGCUCCAGGGAGAAAACCAACAGCAUCCCAGCCUCAGUUCUCUUGAGAGUGUGGGGAGGAGGGC